UAGAGUUUGAUCCUGGCUCACCACUAACGCUGGCGGCGUGCCUAAUACAUGCAAGUCGAGCGGACUUGAUGGAGAGCUUGCUCUCCUGAUGGUUAGCGGCGGACGGGUGAGUAANNNNNNNNCAACCUGCCUGCAAGACCGGGAUAACCCACGGAAACGUGAGCUAAUACCGGAUAUCUCAUUUCCUCUCCUGAGGGGAUGAUGAAAGACGGAGCAAUCUGUCACUUGCGGAUGGGCCUGCGGCGCAUUAGCUAGUUGGUGAGGUAACGGCUCACCAAGGCGACGAUGCGUAGCCGACCUGAGAGGGUGAACGGCCACACUGGGACUGAGACACGGCCCAGACUCCUACGGGAGGCAGCAGUAGGGAAUCUUCCGCAAUGGGCGAAAGCNUGACGGAGCAACGCCGCGUGAGUGAUGAAGGUUUUCGGAUCGUAANNNUCUGUUGCCAGGGAAGAACGUCCGAUAGAGUAACUGCUAUCGAAGUGACGGUACCUGAGAAGAAAGCCCCGGCUAACUACGUGCCAGCAGCCGCGGUAAUACGUAGGGGGCAAGCGUUGUCCGGAAUUAUUGGGCGUAAAGCGCGCGCAGGCGGUCAUUUAAGUCUGGUGUUUAAGGCCAANNNUCAACCUUGGUUCGCACUGGAAACUGGGUGACUUGAGUGCAGAAGAGGAGAGUGGAAUUCCACGUGUAGCGGUGAAAUGCGUAGAUAUGUGGAGGAACACCAGUGGCGAACGCGACUCUCUGGGCUGUAACUGACGCUGA
rnacentral:rRNA from 1 species